UUGGAGAACAGAAAAUUUAAUGAGCUUUUAAUGGAAUGCAAUGCUCAGAGUAGUAAAUUAUUUGUUAGUUGAGGAUGCAAUCAGCAUGCUGAUUAAGGUUGCUUGGUUUUUUACUAAACAUUAACUGAAUGAAAACGGUUAUUCCUUGUUGUUCUGCUUGGGGGGCUUUCUCGAAGCAAAUGGACUUUCAGACCAGAGAUUGUCAAUAAAGGCUCUAUGGAAGAUGCCACUUGGAGAUGUUGCCCUCAUCUGAGUCACUUGCAGGCUGCAGUGGGCUUUCUUGGGACAUACAGCAUUUGGCCUAAUGCACAUGUUCAAGGAAACCCUUGGUCUGGGAACAUCUAUGUCCGCCUGUGAAAACUCCGUGGUCAGACUAACAGCUACAACUAGUUCUGCUUCUCCAAAUAUGCCUUCACAUCAGUCUCUGCUCAGCAAGCUGGUGUUACACAC